AAAUAUAAUUAGUCCCAAAGGGACUUAGAUGCAAUUUUCAGAAUCUGGAAAUUACCUUCUUGCCCUGCCCUAAGCCAUCAGAAACGAAGAAGCAGAAAUUCAUUUGGGUGAGAGUUCCCGCGCAAUAUGCUUGAGAAAGAAGACAUUGGGAAAGAGGGAAGGAGCCAUUGAUGAUGAAAUAUCCUCUCUAUUACCAUUAGUGAACUCCAAAGAGCUUCCAUGUGAAUCUCCACAAACUUUCAGGUUUAUCACUGUGGAAGAUGCAAAGAGUUUGGACACACUGCCAAGACAUGCAAGAACCCAAAUCCCAUCUGAGAACAUAAUGAAAUCAGCUAUUUUUU